GGUUGUAAAGCCCUUUCGGCAGGGAAGAAAUCGGCGGGGCGAAUAACCUUGCUGGAUGACGGUACCUGCAGAAGAAGCACCGGCUAACUACGUGCCAGCAGCCGCGGUAAUACGUAGGGUGCGAGCGUUAAUCGGAUUUACUGGGCGUAAAGCGUGCGCAGGCGGCCCGUUAAGACAGGUGUGAAAUCCCUGGGCUCAACCUAGGAAUUGCGCUUGUGACUGGCGGGCUCGAGUACGGUAGAGGGGGGUGGAAUUCCUGGUGUAGCAGUGAAAUGCGUAGAGAUCAGGAGGAACACCGAUGGCGAAGGCAGCCCCCUGGGCCUGUACUGACGCUCAUGCACGAAAGCGUGGGGAGCAAACAGGAUUAGAUACCCUGGUAGUCCACGCCCUAAACGAUGGGUACUAGCCGUUUGGUGCGCGGUAGCGCUGAGUGGCGAAGCUAACGCGUGAAGUACCCCGCCUGGGGAGUACGGCCGCAAGGUUGAAACUC
rnacentral:rRNA from 1 species